rnacentral:rRNA from 1 species
UACGUAGGUGGCAAGCGUUGUCCGGAUUUACUGGGCGUAAAGAGCGCGCAGGCGGUCGGAUCAGUCGAAUGUGAAAGCCCCCGGCUCAACUGGGGAGGGUCAUUCGAUACUGUUCGACUUGAAGGCAGGAGAGGGAAGCGGAAUUCCCGGUGUAGUGGUGAAAUGCGUAGAUAUCGGGAGGAACACCAGUGGCGAAGGCGGCUUUCUGGCCUGUUCUUGACGCUGAGGCGCGAAAGCUAGGGGAGCGAACGGG